UGGUGGAGUGAUUUGUCUGGUUGAUUCUGUUAACGAACGAGAUCUCCGCCACUACUUGGCCCCUAGCUUCGUUGUAGGUGUGCUUCGUUCACUUCGGUGCAUCGUGGCUGCUGGGAAGCUGGUGGCACAUAGUGGGACCAUGCGUGUCUUAACGCAUUGAAGCGGGAGCCCAAAACA
rnacentral:rRNA from 1 species